rnacentral:piRNA from 1 species
GUGUAGAGAGAAUGGAGUA